rnacentral:rRNA from 1 species
AGAGUUUGAUCCUGGCUCAGGACGAACGCUGGCGGCGUGCUUAACACAUGCAAGUCGAACGGUAAGGCCCUUCGGGGUAUACGAGUGGCGAACGGGUGAGUAACACGUGGGUAAUCUGCCCUGCACAUCGGGAUAAGCCUGGGAAACUGGGUCUAAUACCGAAUAGGACCACAGGACACAUGUCCUGUGGUGGAAAGCUUUUGCGGUGUGGGAUGGGCCCGCGGCCUAUCAGCUUGUUGGUGGGGUGAUGGCCUACCAAGGCGACGACGGGUAGCCGGCCUGAGAGGGUGUCCGGCCACACUGGGACUGAGAUACGGCCCAGACUCCUACGGGAGGCAGCAGUGGGGAAUAUUGCACAAUGGGCGAAAGCCUGAUGCAGCGACGCCGCGUGGGGGAUGACGGCCUUCGGGUUGUAAACCUCUUUCACCAUCGACGAAGGUCCGGGUUUUCUCGGGCUGACGGUAGGUGGAGAAGAAGCACCGGCCAACUACGUGCCAGCAGCCGCGGUAAUACGUAGGGUGCGAGCGUUGUCCGGAAUUACUGGGCGUAAAGAGCUCGUAGGUGGUUUGUCGCGUUGUUCGUGAAAUCUCACGGCUUAACUGUGAGCGUGCGGGCGAUACGGGCAGACUUGAGUACUGCAGGGGAGACUGGAAUUCCUGGUGUAGCGGUGGAAUGCGCAGAUAUCAGGAGGAACACCGGUGGCGAAGGCGGGUCUCUGGGCAGUAACUGACGCUGAGGAGCGAAAGCGUGGGGAGCGAACAGGAUUAGAUACCCUGGUAGUCC